GCAGGCGCUCUCGCCUCCGCAGGUCCCGCCGCGGCCUGGCCUGCGCCAUGCCCCCGCUGUCCAGGAGGUCUUCUGGGUACUGCGCCUUGGCCCUUAAAGAUGGGGGAAUGAGCCGGUCUAGGGUAUUUUUGUGUGUGUGUCACUCCGCGUUUCUGGAGUUUUAUACCUUCCAAUAUGGCGCCUCAGCCAGCCGCACCGCGGACUCCGGGGAGGGGAAAGAAACAUGUAUCAGGACUGGGUGCAGCUUUGCCUGAAGGGCCCUAGGAAACACAGCAGGAGUAAAGUGAACUUUGGUGUUCAGACAGGCAGCAGAAUUCAUCAGUUGUCUGGUCUAGAGAACUUGGUGCUGACCUACAUCAACACUAUCAACAGUGGGGAUUUGCCAUUCAUGGAGAACAAAGUCCUGGCACUGCCCAGACAGAGAAUGCAGCUGCAAUAAAAAAGGUCCUUGCCCACUAUGAAAAGCUGAUGGGCCAGAAGGUGCAGCUGCCCAAAGAGACCCUCCAAGAGCUGCUGGACCUGCACAGGACCAGUGAGAGAGAGAGGCCAUAGAAAUCUUCACAAAGAACUGUUUCAAGGAUGAGGACCAAAGUUUCCAGAAGCAAUUAUAGACCCUAUUAGAUGAAAAGCAGAAAGACAUUUGUAAGUGAAUGAAGAAGCCUCUUCAGAUCAUUGCUCAGCUUUCUUCAGGAUAUUUUUGGUCCUCUAGAAGAAGUAGUGAAACAGGGGCUUUAUUCUAAACCAGGAGGCCAUAACCUCUACCUUCAGAAGACAGAGAAGCUGAAGACAAAGUACCACAAGCAAUUCAGGAAAGGAAUACAGGCUGAGGAAGCUCUGCAAAAGUAUUUAAAGUCCAAAGAGUCUAUGAGUAAAGCUGUUCUACAGACAGACCAGGCUCACAGCCAAGGAAAAGGAGAUGGAAGAGGCACGUGCAAAAGCAGAGGCUGCCAAGGCUGAAGCAGAAAGUGUGGAGGAGAUUCGCAGGCAUAUGCGGCAAAUGAUGGAAGAGAAGGAGAGACUCCAUCAGCAGCAACUAAGACAAAUAGAGAUAGAAAGAGCAAAGUGUCUGGCACAGCAACAGUUGGAGCAGGAACGUCAUCUGGGGGAAGAAGCCGAAAAGCUCAAGUUGAUGCAUCAAGCUGAAAUGGCAAGGUUUCAAAAUCAGAUCCAGCAUAUCCACAGAACAAUGUCUGAGCCACAAGCUGCUCGAUGUAUCAUACUCUAAAGUACAUCAAAGCUUCCUUAUUUCUUUUCGCUAAAGACACAAAGAAACAAGAAACUAAAGAAUUUGGAACAAUCAACAUUUAAAUAAUCCCGAAGCUUUCUGCCUAGUCUUCUAAUUUGUCUCUAGAUAUUGCAAGUCACCCAGGCGUCUAGGUAUUGCAAAUUAUCACAUGGGCUCAGUCAAAUGGAAUGGUACCCUGUUCAGCAUCACUACUGCUUAUGGUCAUGUGCUGGAUGCCAUCACAGGGAGGCACCAAUGGUACCAUGGAACAAUCCACAGUUUUUACCUGGUUGGAGACUGCUAUGCUAUGUGCAGUGGUGAAAAUUAUCAGCACUCUCAGUUGGCCUUCUGCAUAGAGAAAUUCCAAAUUCAAAGGAAACAAUGUUAACAUGAAAUGGAAAUCUUUAGAGGAUGAAAGGAAAUACUACUAUGGAAAUUGUGUCAUAAGCUUAAGGACUAAACAAAAAGCUUUUUCCUUUUCUCUAAUCCUCACUAAUUCAUAACUUAUAAUAGGUAACAACUUACAUGUGACUUAAUAUUUUUGCAUUACAUAUUUAUAAUCCUUUAGAGCUUGUAAAUAGGAAUCAUAAGUAAUAAUGUGUAAUGAGCCCAAGUACUGAUGGUGCUCAUAGAAUGAGUUUGGAAGGGUUCCUUCCUUUUCUAUUUCAUGUAAUACUUUGAGGAGUAUUGGCUUUAAUUUUGCUUUGAAUGUCUCAUGGAACUCGGCUGAGAAUCUGUCUGGUCCUGUGCUUUCUUGGUUGGCUUUUGAUGGUGUUUUCUAUUUCAUUACUUAAAAUUGAUCUGUUUAAAUCAUGUAUUACCUCCUAAUUCAGUUUGAGUAGGUCAUAUGCCACUGCAAAUUUGUCAAUGUCUUUGAUAUUUUCUAUUUUAUUGGAGUAUAAAUUUUCAAAAUAGUUUCUAAUUAUCUUCUGUAUUUUAGAUGUGACAUUGUGAUAUUUCCUUUUUCAUCACGUAUUUUAGUAAUUUGAAUUUCUCUUUUUCUUUUUGUUAGCAUGGCUUAUCUAUUUUGUUUAUUUUUUCAAAGAACCAACUUUUGGUUUGGUCAAUUUUUUCAGCUGUUCCUUUGUUUCAGUAACAUUGAUUUCAGCUCUGAUUUUAAUUAUUUCUUUUCUUCUACUGCUUUUGGUGUUGAUUUGUUCUUUUUCUAGGACUUUGAGAUGUGAUGUUAAAUCAUUUAUUUGUUGAUUUUUUAUUCUGUUAAUGAAUGAGCUCAAUGCAAUAAACUUUCCUCUUAGUAGUGCCUUCA